UACGGGGGGGGCAAGCGUUGUUCGGAAUUACUGGGCGUAAAGGGCCAGUAGGCGGCCAACUAAGUCGGAUGUGAAAUCCCCAGGCUCAACCUGGGAACUGCAUCCGAUACUGGAUGGCUUGAAUUCGGGAGAGGGAUGCAGAAUUCCAGGUGUAGCGGUGAAAUGCGUAGAUAUCUGGAGGAACACCGGUGGCGAAGGCGGCAUCCUGGACCAACACUGACGCUGAGGAGCGAAAGCCAGGGGAGCAAACGGG
rnacentral:rRNA from 1 species